rnacentral:tRNA from 1 species
GCCAAUGUGCUGUAGUGGUUUGAGCCUUGGACUACAACUCUGGAGACCAGGGUUCAAAUCCCAGCUUGGCCA